AUUGAUUCUCAGCUUUUUGGCUAGGAUCAAGUGUCGUAUCUGUUCUUAACAGAUACUUCCUCUAUCUGAGGACAAUAUAUUAAAUGGAGUUUUGGAGCAGGGAGAUGGAACAGAAGCUUGCUCCGUCCACUCCAGGCGUCAACCUGGAAUUGCAGCACUUCCAGAAAUGGUGCACACAAA
rnacentral:snRNA from 1 species